CCAGCUCCAAUAGCGUAUACUAAAGUUGUUGCAGUUAAAAAGCUCGUAGUUGGAUUUCUGGAUACGGCAGCCGGUCCGCCCUUAACGGGGUUGUGUACCAAGUUUCUGUGUCCAUCCUCGAGGAGAACAUGCCUGGCAUUUAUUUGUCGGGUAUGGUAUCCUCGUCAUUUACUGUGAGCAAAAUAGAGUGUUCAAAGCAGGCUUAGGCCGUUGAAUACAUUAGCAUGGAAUAAUAAGAUAGGACCUUGGUCUAUUUUGUUGGUUUAUAUUCCAGGGUAAUGAUUAAUAGGGAUAGUUGGGGGUAUUCGUAUUCAAUUGUCAGAGGUGAAAUUCUUGGAUUUAUGGAAGACGAACUACUGCGAAAGCAUUUACCAAAUAUGUUUUCA
rnacentral:rRNA from 1 species